AUUGAAACUAAAUGGAUCUCUGAACUUUUGCAGAUAAACCGCCAAAGGCAGAGUUACAGUUGACUCCUGCAGUAAUUUCCAUGGAGAAAUCAGUGAAACUGCAGUGCAGCAGACCUGACUCUGCCCCUGCGUCCCACUGCACUUUCACCACUAAUCAGAGAGGACCGAUCAGUGGCUCAGACUGUGAGCGCUCAGUCACUGGAGCUGAGCUGCUCAGUGAGAGUCACAGCGCACGCAAUGAGAUCAUCAUGAGAUGUUCCUACAAACUGGAGGAAGGAGGGAAACCUGCUCUUCAUAGUGACCCCUCCACAGUGACUGUGCUGGAUCUGAGGAAGCCCAAUAUCUCGGUCUCCACAGAACACACUGAGACACACAUUCGCUGUGAAGCACCACCUGACAUCACUGGAGCUGUUUUCCUCCUGUACUACAACAGGAGUACCAUACCUACUAAGGAAACCCGGGCUGGAGCAGAAGAGCGAGCAGUCAGUUUCACUCUCCCCCGCAGCUCUGACUCCACUCUGACAUACUGCUGUAGUUAUCAGUUUGAGGGCUUCAACUCUGAACUGAGUGACUGUGCUGAAGCUAAGAACAAGGACCAGAGUGGAAGAACAAAGGACCAAAGUACUGUACUCUUCUUUUCUCUCUGCAGUUUAUAAACCACACAUGCACAGUUAAUUCUCAACUUAUAAGACAAGCGCUUGUUGUAUUUUGGUCCUUAGUCAUUAUAACUGGAGGUUAUGCUUUAACAUUGACUACAGAAGAUUUUUUCAUUGAUUUAUUAAUCCAUUUAUUUAUUCAGAUGUAUUCAUUCAUUAUUCAUAUUCAAAAGCCCUCCUUUGAUUUUCUAUUAUAGGGCUGGAAACCCAUUGCACUUGCCAUGUCCCAUAAAUGAGAUGCCAGGUUAUAGUUUUGGCACUAGAUAGAAUGAGUGGAGUUAAGGCUGUUUACUAUAAGAAGCUGCCCUGCUGCUCUGACCCCUGUGGAAUUAUUGCCUAAGUGAAAAUACAUUAUUUAAAAUAUAACCAAAUUUCAUUAAUGUUCAUGUUCUUUCUGCCAAGAGUGAGAUUGUCACCUGAAAUUCUUUUUUUCCUCUGUUUCCGGUAUACGCCACCACAGACAACCCACAGACAGAGUCGGCCAGGUUUCUGUGGCGACACAUCCUCAGUGCGCUGGUCCUCUUGGCUGCUAUUGGAAUACUCAUAGAAUACUUCAUCUCCCACACACCAACCACAGAUGCUGCAGGCAGGAAGAGGAGAGGGAGUGAGAACACCGGACAGUUUGUGGAGACAUUGUGCUGAGACAUGAGAGAGAUUAGCCUGUUUACAAAUAUAUAGUACGCAUACACAAUAAAUAAAAAUGUACAUAAAACCACAUAUAAAUACAGAACAUGUAUAUUUAUAAACAGACAUAACACAUACAUAGUCACAAAAUGACAUACUGUUUUAACUUAAAAUAAAGAGUACUCUUAAAUAUUUACUACUGUAGUCUGUAUUUCUGCGAUGUCAUUUCUAACUUGUUUUCAUCCAUUUAAAAAUGUAUGCUCUCAAUUUCAUAUUUAUUACAAGCACUGUUGUGAACUACCCAAGUUGGUUUGUUUACAAUAAUAUUGUUCUUA